CUCUACCUCAACCAGGAAAGUGGUGCUGCAGCUCUGAUGGCUCUGGCCUUGGUCGCAGUUGUCGUUGGCCGUCGCAAAGGUCGUUCAGGGCUCACAGGUUUCAGUUCCAUAUGCUCCAUCAGUUGAACAAGUGGACAAGAUUCUGGCUCUGUGCUUGGCGCAAAUUCUUCAGUUCUACCGUGAGGUCAACGAGACGAGUAGAGCAUGGAGAAGCAAAUAUUAAAGCAGCCAAGGUUUGCAAGUGAAGCUGCUUGCAAUUAUGUGGAGCAGCUGACUGAUAAAUCAUACAUGGGUGUCUAUAUCUCUUGGCAUGAGGGUGGAUCAAGAUAAAAAAAUUGGAAGUACUAAAGAAGAAACAAGAACAUCAAAAUCAAAUGGUUGUUCAGCGAACAGUACAGUUGAGAGAUAGGAAGAGGCGGAAGAUUGAGAGGAUGAUAAGGCGAUUUGGCAAACAACACCGUUCAAAUGCUGAUGAUGCCAUGAACGAUCUGUCAACAUUGCAUGAAGAUCUCGAAUAUGUUACAUUAUUUCCGAAGAACGAUAAAUAUGUCCCCUCUCUUCACUUUGAGGAACACCCUAGAUAUUGUAGAGAAGAAGAAUUCCUUCCGUAAGCA